UUUCCGAGACCUGCAGAAGAACGAUGGAAGAGAGAGAUGGGUACAGGGCCACAAGUCAGGGGAAUCGGGAGCUUCAGCAGUGACCCUGUUGGGGUUCUCCAGGAGCCUCCAGAAGUUCUUCUUCCAAGACCGAGUUCAAGCAGCACCCACGGUCCAAGACGUGGGAGGAAACGCUUUAUGCUGCUUUGCAUUACCAGAAAGGAUGUCCCCUCUUCGUUUGGGCCUGAUGAACUUCUUCAACGGAGCAGCUCAGUGUGGACCAAACCAGUGAUGAAACCUACUCUCAACAUCUGUCUUCUGUCUGUCUUUACCUUGGACAUCUUUACAGUGGACAAGAUAAAUAGUUUGAAUCUCUUACUCCUUCCUUGUGGUCCUCAUCCUUCCCUUUACGCCAUCCUUCCUCUACUCAACUAUGCUGAGCAUGUGAAACAGAAUAACAGAGUUGGAGGAGACCUUGGAGGUCUUCUAGUCCAACCCCCUGCUCAGGCAGCAAACCCACCUAGUGUCAGGUUUCGGUGUCAUCUCAAAUAAAUUGCAUUUCCAAACAAA